UACGGAGGGUGCAAGCGUUAUCCGGAUUCACUGGGUUUAAAGGGUGCGUAGGCGGUCAGAUAAGUCAGUGGUGAAAGCCCGUGGCUCAACCAUGGAAUUGCCAUUGAAACUGCCUGACUUGAAUAUAGUUGAAGUGGGCGGAAUACAUCAUGUAGCGGUGAAAUGCUUAGAUAUGAUGUAGAACACCGAUUGCGAAGGCAGCUCACUAAGCUAUCAUUGACGCUGAGGCACGAAAGCGUGGGUAGCGAACAGG
rnacentral:rRNA from 1 species